AAAUCACUCCCGCGAUUUGUUGUGGUUCCUCUAUUUCAGAAACUAUGUGCUAAAGUGCGUCCAAUGGAAUUUCCCCCGAAAUAGACGUCAUAGUCGAAAAAUGCCCAUUUAGUACAUUCCCCCAUAGCUCUAUGCACUCCCCCACUACCACUCGACCCACCCCUAGAUGGACCCUCCCACUUUAUAGAAGCUCGGUCCACCGGUGUCCGCCAUUUCAUUCUUGCAAGCCUUGGAAACACUUGGAUUAGCUAACUAGCAGCAUGAAUCGGUGGUCGGCUGCAAACAUGUCUUCAUGUGACUCCAGCUUCAGAAGACACAAGAUUGAGAUGGAUUGAGUUCAUAUAUGAUGGCAACGUUCCUGCCACCACUUUGAAUCGGACUUUUUUUAUCAACCUGGGCCAAUAUAACGCUGGAUUCUCUAAAAGGUUGUUAUUGAAAGAGGGGUCGGUGCCAUCUUUCCAUGGCAAUACUGAAGACGAGGGAAAUGCAAGCACAUCUGUUCACGGUGAUAGGCUACAUCACGUAGCAUGCCAGACGGACCCACCAAAGAUGCGCACACAUGGAACGCAGCUUUCUAUGAAAACACUGCGACCUCACUACAAACGUACAGGCACACAGAAAACUGUGCUGCACUGAUGUCGGUGUUGGGACCUCAGCUGUAAGAGACCUCGCUUGGAGGAGGGAGAGGACAAGAUGUGACAUUACAUGGAUAACCUGUUGGACCUCAUCUUUCACGAGGUUUUUCAGGACCCGGCCCCAUAUGUGAAUGAGGUGCUGAAGAUCUCAAAACCUGAGGAUCUCUCUGCCUUGUAUGAGAAACCUGACAGGAAGUUAUAGCCAGCUAUGUGUCGAGUUUCAAUCAAGGGCAGGUCUGAACCCUAUAUAACUUCCCUGAGCAUCAGGGAACACUCUGCGUAUCUGGAGCACCGAGCAGGAGGGCAGGACCACCCUGAUUCUCCGGCCCAGAGGGCCUCAACACCAGCUCACAAAGCUUCUGUACGCCAAAUACCUGUAACGGCUGAGCAAAGUUCACAUUGUAUUUAGAGAAUAAAAGGUGACACACAAAUAUAAAGUGUUCCUUUGUUUACAGUAUAGCUACUGAUGGCACAAAUUGUAUUUUUGUAAUGAAUGUAUUUAUUAUACUUGGUAUUUUUUGUAUUUAUUACCUCUGUCCCAGCCAGUAC